rnacentral:lncRNA from 8 species
UUGAGACUUUUUACAACGGUCCAGACGUGGCAGGAGACAUUCGCGAAUUAUUUCCAUUCCAGCUGAUCCUUUACAACUUUGACAGGGAACCAAAAAUGCACCGGGGAUAAUAGAUCAAUAGAUCAUUAUAAAGUGGCUUCCUCUUUUCUCAGAGUCGUUCCGUUAUCUUCCUUCAGGAGAUCAUGACAUAGAACAAACCUCGAUCUAACUUGAAAAGCUCCAUCGGUGUGUUUUAGCGCGAGGCAAACAACCCACAACCGGUGGAUGUCACAAUCUGCGGGAGAAGUCCAAUCUCUCUCCACACUCAUACAAGCCCCACCGUGGAACCGAUGACGACCGCCUUGUAGCCUACGCCGACGUUUCUAAUAUGCAAGAUAUCGUGGACUGAGUGAGUGAAUUCUUCGCUCGGGACUCGGAGAAACACACACCUCCCUCUGUCGCCCUCAGCUGACAUUGAAGCAGGAAACAAAUGUAACACACAUGUAUGGUGUAAAGAAGACGUUUCAUUGGAAGGUGUGUCUUGCUUGCUUGGAAAGCAAAACCUUCUCAAAUUGCACCUUGCAUGGUCAUAGUGCACCAGUCAGUCAGUCUCAUCCAUCCGUCUGUCAGCCCACAGAGAGGCACAGAGAGGAAGGAUGUCGAAAUUGGUUUCAGGAGCUUGGAGGAAUGGAGGGAUUGGUGUCAGCACAGCAACUAUUGGCAGCAGUCCUGACCCUGGAGGUAAUCACCACGACGACAAGCUUUCAUCAGAAGAAUACAGUUAAUUUACAGUUAUUCUCAGAAUGUCAGUUGGUCCAAAGAAACAAUGCCAUGCUCAAUACCUGUGCCAAAACGCUAUCUCUUUCUCACUUUCUCUCUCUUUCUCUCUCUUCCUCUCUCUCUCAUACGUUGUUUUCCUAUGAUUCUGAAUGGAAAUAUUGUUUAACUUAUGACAUUGUUUGGUUUAGUUGUUCUUGAUUUCUUUUUAUUUGAAAAGGCUUGUUUUCUUGUACAUUUCAGAUAAAACUGAGGAUAGAAGGUAAACUAUUACAAAAGACAGUAAACGGUUCAAAGUAGACAUUAAACAGCAAACAGUUUGUGCCCUGCAAAGAAAGUUUAGUAAGUUUAUAUUUACCUUGUGUCAAUUACUCUCAAAGAUCCCCUAAAAGUAGUAGUUAUUUGGUCAUUAUUUAGUAAUGACCAUUUUAAAGUGUAAUUUUGAGGUAAAUACCAUGUAAAUAUAAGUCUAUAAAAUAAAUCAUUUUCCUCAUAAGUUUUUUCGAAAAAUGUGCCCCUCCCACACAUAAGUGAGUUUUUCCCUUUAAGGGUUGAGUCACAUAGAAUGAAAGCAUUGUGCCUUUUUUUUCGUAAAGAAAAGGUAUCUGUGCCAGCAGCUUAUUUUGGGGCUAAAUCUCAGCAUUACAGUGCUUUUAUGUUCCCAGUAUCCACCCUUUCAUUUGACUCUGACAGAAUGGUGACUUUGUGUGUUUUAAAUGAGCCCAGCUUCAGUCCACCUGUGCAUUUCCUAUUGAAGCCAAACAUUCUGCAUCUUGGAAGAUCUCCCUGCCCUCCUCUCUCUCACUCCCUCCUUCUCUCUCUCUCCUUCUCUCUCUCUCGCUCUCUCUCGCUCUCUCUCGCUCUCUCUUGCUCUCGCUCGCUCUCUCUCUCACUCUCACUUCAAUCAGUGUAGAUGAAGGGGAGGAGACGAAUUGUUAAGCCUUGAGACAAUUGAGACAUGGAUUGUGUGUGUGCCAUUCAGAGGUUGAAUAGGCAUGACAAAAGAUUUAUGUGCAGGGUUGCCAACUUUUGAAGAAAGUUUGGAGUGAGAUUUGCUAUGUGAAUUUCAUUGCCCCCUGGAACAACCCCUAAAUGGGAAAUGAACCGGGUGUAAAAUGUAAAAAAAUAAAACCACAGGUCAGGUGUAUUUAGAAUGCUUUGAAC